UGUGCUUCUUUAUGUGUGAUACAAGUUCUUAUAAUAGAUCCAUAUUUAUACGUCUUAGUUGAAUCAGAAAGACGGUUGAGAAGGAUGGAAGAAGAAGGUAAACAUACGGAUCCACAUAAACCCUAGAAUCUUACCUUGAAUGUCUCUAAUUAACUUGAAAGAUCAAUUUGGUGGAUCGCCAAUUACAAGUCUGAGACUGGAGAUACUAGAGUUUUCAUAGCUCGGGUGACGAAUCAUACUGGGGUGUUAUUUAAAAAACUUAUAUGGAGGUUUGAACUGUUUUUCCAUGAGGAUGAUAUUAUAUCUGUUCUUGCCUCCGCGGAACCUAAAUUGCACCCUGCAAAGGGUGAAUACCUGGAUAUUUCAAAUAUUAUGCGGAGGUUAAGCUUUCUCCUGCAACUUAAAUGGAAGUCACUUGCUAUGAGUUUUCUUUUACUGAUUUUGACGAUCUGCAAUCGACCCUCAACAAUAUUUAAUUUACCCUCAACAAUAUUUAAUUUACUUUGGCGGGUUAUGUAUUCCAUCAUGUAGAGCUCAAGAACUUCUUGGAGUUUCUUUACCGGGAAAAGUUUGACUAGAGAAAAGUUUGAGAAGCCUUUUUAAUUAACUUCUGUUUAAGCUGACAAGUGUGUAAUCCCACAGUUGUAUAAGUUUUGUCAGCAACAGAUUUUAAAAGCAUUGGUUUCGUCAAAUGCACUAAAGGUUCUGGAGGUCUCAGAAAUCUGCUCAAACGAGAUAUUAAAGCUUGGUGUUUAGAGAUCAAUUCUCCAGUACAAAGACUAGCUAAUUCUGUUACCUAACCUUGAAGAAUUUGCAAAAUAGAACCAACACUUGAUGGUACAUAUCGCAAGGGCCUUGGUUAAUUUAUUUCAGUGGGGACGUGGAGUGAUGUGCGAAGGGUGUGAAGCAUGCUCCAGCCAGAACCCUCGGAACCCCAAACUCAAUUGGUUGUUUUUCUGAUUAAAUUUAGUUUCUUAUAUGUUAGCUCACCAUUGUCCACGAACCCCAAACUAAAAUCCGUUUUAUGUUUUGUUUAUUUUGUUUUAAUAUUAUUCGUUGCAGGGGUUAAUCCGUUAACUUCGAAUCACAAAGAGCGCCACGAGUUCACGGUUCUUUUCUUGAAAGCAGUUGUUACAACCAUCAGUGCUAUUGGAGGAGCUGCUACUAAUGUUUUGUUUUUUUUGAACCCUUUCUAGCAAUGACCAUUCUCAUUCGGUAAUAUCAAUUAUCACUUUUAAUUCUGUUCUUUAUACACCGCACCAAAUUGGGUUUACAAGAAAAGAAUUAUUCAAACUCAACCCAAUUUCACGCUGGUUGGAAUCCCAGAUUUUCAGAUAUCGCAAAGGAGAGAAAGGGCAUCCCAUUAGUAAGCCGGCUUGGGCCGAUUGUAGAAUGAUUGCAAAGAUCUGGCUGCUGGGAAUACAGAACUGUAACUUUAUGAAAAACAGGCUGUGUAUCAUACUAUCGGCCUGGAUAGAGAAGCUUGCAAGGCAGGGGUUUGUGGCCAUUAUAUUUAAUUAGUGGAUGUGAUGCUUCAUACUUUCUUUCUUAUCAACGGAUUUCCCACUUUCCUUAAAAGUUUGCUACAAAGGGAAUUCCAACCCUAGAUUCAGCAGUUUUACUAGAUUUGGUCUGUUUCUUAGCUCUUUGUUCCCUGAGAACUCUAACCCCAGGAUACGUUCUUUUAUCUUCUUUUUAUUUAUUUGGUUCGACUUCUCCCCCAUCCUCUUAUCUUACUCAUUGCAGAAUUUGAUGAUGAAUCACGAAUCACAGUGGUUUGUCUCAGGCACAUGGAUUCUGAUGUUGAAACGCCUGUGAUGGUACCACGUCAUCUCUUGAUUUAAAGGCUUGCAAAAAAAAAUUCCGCUGGAUAGUGACAAGUUGAUUUGGGGUGAUACCAAGGUUGCCGGCAGAUUAAUGUAAGCAAGGAAAAUCACCCAGGAUCACGAACUAAUGUCAAUCUGUAUGUCUUCAAGCCCAUCGUCGGUGGACCAAUAGAGUACGGAAUCACAAUCUGAUAUCAGUUUAUGGGCUUUAGGACAUGUGGGUGUGCAUGUGAAUCUACCAUUGGUUGGUGUUAGUGUUUAAAUCUAGAAACCUAUUUUGAGGCAUACUCAUUUUUUUUUGAGGCACACUUAUUCAUUAUAUUAUCUAGGAUGAGUUUAUAAGGGGUGUCUAAAGGUAGUGUAAUUACCUAUAUAUCCCUAAAUAAUUUCAAUUUGUCAUAGUUUUCUUAUCCUCAAAAACCUAAAAUUAAAAAUUAAAAUAAACUUUAAACUUAAA